rnacentral:rRNA from 1 species
UGCCAGCCGCCGCGGUAAUACGGAAGGUCCAAGCGUUAAUCGGAAUUACUGGGCGUAAAGCGCGCGUAGGUGGUUUAGCAAGUUGUAUGUGAAAGCCCUGGGCUCAACCUAGGAACUGCAUCCAAAACUACUAAGCUAGAGUGCGAGAGAGGAGAGUAGAAUUUCUGGUGUAGCGGUGAAAUGCGUAGAUAUCAGAAGGAAUACCAAUGGCGAAGGCAGCUCUCUGGCUCGUCACUGACGCUGAGGUGCGAAAGCGUGGGUAGCAAACAGGAUUAGAUA